GCUUUGGGGGUGUGCACGUCAGUAAAAAUUUCAUCGUCCAUGCGAUUCCUAUUCGAUGGUGGAGAUCGAUUCUCAGCGCGGAGAUUACAGCGCGCCAUCUUCCACGUUCAAGCGUUCAUACGAGCGCACAGGCUAGUAUUCACUGCUUUCUUUCCUCGUGUUCACACCAUGGUCUAGCAUUCACAUGAGUCAGAUGAAGUCCUAAAGUGAGCAUUGCGUGUCAGCUUCCUCGCCCGUCUCCUUCCAAGUCAACAAAAUCUGCGGACAUGCCUCCUUCUUAGAAAUUUCCUUCAGCUGUGUGCUCUCGCUUCUCUUCUUCCCGCUGCCAUCUUGUGACUCCCUGACGCGCCCCGACCGCACGUUGGCCUCCCCUGCUUGCGGCGCGCGAGGGCCACGGCCACGGCGGCGCAUGCACGGCCCGGAGCGGCCGCGGCGCGCCGGCCUCGGCGGGCCGGAGCGGCCCCGGCGACCACGGCGGGGCGGCCGCGGCGGCCUGGGGGACCGCCACCCCCCUCGCGCCCUGCACCGGUGCUCCUCCACCCCUCCCAUCGCCGACGCCCCUUCUCCCCCUCCCUCGCUCGGUCACGGGCCGGCAGUAGGCCUCGCGGCGGCGCAGUGGAGCAGGAGCCCUGCCCCCGGCGAGAUCCAGCCCAGGCCGAUGGCCAUGGCGCGGCGGCAUCCCUCCGGCCGGAUCCGCGCGGGCCCAGGCGUGCGAGCGGCCUCCUCCUCCGCGCAGGCCCACGCGUGCGAGCGGCCUCCUCCCUCCGCGCGGCCUCGACGGACCGGACCAUCACGAUGUACGAUAGAAGUGGUAGCUACUGCUCCAACUUCAAUCUCUCUAGAGGACCAAUAACCACCAUAUCCUGGCAAGGAUAGUGGAACAGUGCCACAGAAAUUCGCUCUUUGGUUGGGUGUAUCACGGCCCUGUGCUCAACGCUUUUGAAUUUCCCAUUGCUCAUGAUCUGCGGCGAAACGAAGGAUAACUUCAUCAAUUCAGCGCAGGAGGCAACAGAAAUAUAGGCCUAGACUACACUAUAUAGCUAAGAACUCCUGACGGUCAGGUCAUGAUCAGAUGACAGAAGUGCUGUGCUCUAUCUAUACUUCCUUCGUCCAUAAAAAAUUGCAAUUAUGGGAUCAAUACUGGUUAAACUAGUUCAAAUUUGAUCAAAUUUAUAGUACAUAGUAUUAGCAUUUAUAUCUCCAAAUAAAUUUAUUAUAACAAUAUAUUCUAUAACUAAUUUAAUAGUAGUUAUUUUGCAUCAUGAAUGUCAUUAUUUUUUAUAUAACUUUAGUUAAAGGUCAUCAAAAUGUUUAACUUAUCGGAAAGCGAGAAUUGUAUUCUUUUAUGGACGGAAGGAGUAGAUAUGAACAUUCAAUAUUUUGUUUGGAAGUUUUGUUCUAUAACUAAUCUAAAAGUACUUAUUUUGUAUCAAGAA